AUACGAAGGGUGCAAGCGUUACUCGGAAUUACUGGGCGUAAAGCGUGCGUAGGUGGUUGUUUAAGUCUGUCGUGAAAGCCCUGGGCUCAACCUGGGAAUGGCGAAGGAAACUGGGCGACUAGAGUGUGGCAGAGGGUAGUGGAAUUCCUGGUGUAGCAGUGAAAUGCGUAGAGAUCAGGAGGAACAUCCGUGGCGAAGGCGACUGCCUGGGCCAACACUGACACUGAGGCACGAAAGCGUGGGGAGCAAACAGGAUCAGAUACCCUGGUAGUCCACGCCCUAAACGAUGCGAACUGGAUGUUGGGUGCAAUUUGGCACGCAGUAUCGAAGCUAACGCGUUAAGUUCGCCGCCUGGGGAGUACGGUCGCAAGACUGAAACUCAAAUGAAUUGACGGGG
rnacentral:rRNA from 1 species